rnacentral:rRNA from 1 species
AUGGACUGGAGGGCCAAGGGAGCCGUCACUCCUGUCAAGGAUCAAGGCUGCUGUUGGGCAUUUUCUGCUGUUGCCGCGACAGAGGGCAUUGUAAAACUGAAAACCGGGAAGUUGAUCUCACUGUCGGAGCAGGAGUUGGUUGACUGUGAUGUUCAUGGUCAAGAUCAAGGCUGCGAGGGAGGACUCAUGGAUGAUGCCUUCAAAUUCAUUAUCAAGAAUGGAGGCCUUACUAUGGAGUCAAGCUACCCAUAUACUGCAGCUGAUGGCAAGUGCAAGGCUGGAUCCAACAGUGCCGCAACCAUCACCGGCUUUGAGGAUGUGCCUGCCAAUAACGAGGGUGUCACAUCCCUAGCUUCUGGUAAUGCACUAGGCUAG